GUAGGGAAUCUUCCACAAUGGACGCAAGUCUGAUGGAGCAACGCCGCGUGAGUGAAGAAGGUUUUCGGAUCGUAAAACUCUGUUGUUGAAGAAGAACACUAGUGAGAGUAACUGUUCAUUAGUUGACGGUAUUUAACCAGAAAGCCACGGCUAACUACGUGCCAGCAGCCGCGGUAAUACGUAGGUGGCAAGCGUUAUCCGGAUUUAUUGGGCGUAAAGAGAACGUAGGCGGUUUCUUAAGUCUGAUGUGAAAGCCCCCGGCUCAACCGGGGAAGUGCAUCGGAAACUGGGAAACUUGAGUGCAGAAGAGGACAGUGGAACUCCAUGUGUAGCGGUGAAAUGCGUAGAUAUAUGGAAGAACACCAGUGGCGAAGGCGGCUGUCUGGUCUGUAACUGACGUUGAGGUUCGAAAGCAUGGGUAGCGAACAGGAUUAGAUACCCUUGUAGUCC
rnacentral:rRNA from 1 species